AUUGAACGCUGGCGGCAUGCCUUACACAUGCAAGUCGAACGGUAACAGGUCUUCGGAUGCUGACGAGUGGCGAACGGGUGAGUAAUACAUCGGAACGUGCCUAGUAGUGGGGGAUAACUACUCGAAAGAGUGGCUAAUACCGCAUGAGAUCUACGGAUGGAAGCAGGGGAUCGCAAGACCUUGUGCUACUAGAGCGGACGAUGGCAGAUUAGGUAGUUGGUGGGAUAAAAGCUUACCAAGCCGACGAUCUGUAGCUGGUCUGAGAGGACGAUCAGCCACACUGGGACUGAGACACGGCCCAGACUCCUACGGGAGGCAGCAGUGGGGAAUUUUGGACAAUGGGCGAAAGCCUGAUCCAGCAAUGCCGCGUGCAGGAUGAAGGCCUUCGGGUUGUGAACUGCUUUUGUACGGAACGAAAAGCCCCGGGUUAAUACCCUGGGGUCAUGACGGUACCGUAAGAAUAAGCACCGGCUAACUACGUGCCAGCCGCCGCCGUAA
rnacentral:rRNA from 1 species